rnacentral:rRNA from 1 species
AUGGCCGACGCAGUCCGCGACGGGCAGACGGCCCUGGCGCUCCGCCUCGCCAAGCACCUCGCGGAAGACGGCUUCGGCGGCAAGAGCGAGAACAUAGCGUUCUCGCCUCUGUCGAUCCACGCGGUGCUUGCGCUGCUUACCGCGGGGGCGCGCGGUGCCACGGAGGCCCAGCUGCUCAGCUUCCUCGGCGCGCCGUCGGCGGCUGAUCUGGCCGCCUUCGUGCGGCGCGUGGCGGAAACCGUCCUCGCCGACCAGAUGGAGGACGAGAGCGCCCCCUGCGUGCUCUUCGGCGGCGGUGUCUGGGUCGACGCUUCCUGCGGCGGGCUCAAGAAAGCGUUCCGGGAUGUUGCCACCAAGUCCUACAAAUCCCAGGCUCGCACCGUCAACUUCGCCGACGCUCCGGAGGAAGCAGUGGAGAUCAUGAACGACUGGGUGAAAAAGGCCACCAACAACCUCAUCAACUCCCUCUUUUCUCCAAGCGACAUCAAAGCUGACACCGCCCUCGUGGUCGCCAACGCGGUCUACUUCAAAGGCCUGUGGCGCAAUCCGUUCCACCGGGCCAACACGGCGCCUCGCCACUCGCCAGUUUCACCUUCUCGACGGCAGCUGCGUCAAGGCAAAGUUCAUGAGCAAGUAUUCUCAAUCCCAGUUUAUCUCUUGCGUGGAUGGUUUCAAGGUGCUCAAGCUUCCCUAUCUGGGCCCAUGGAAAACCAAGGCAGAUGCCGCCCACGCAGCUCCUUUCAAGCGUCGCCGCGGUCCAGGCGCCGCUGCAGCUGUCGACGCUGA